rnacentral:siRNA from 1 species
GCGUGGUGUCCGGUGCGCCC